rnacentral:rRNA from 1 species
AGCGUACACGGUGGAUGCCCUGGCAGUCAGAGGCGAUGAAGGGCGUGCUAAUCUGCGAUAAGCGCCGGUAAGGUGAUAUGAACCGUUAUAACCGGCGAUACCCGAAUGGGGAAACCCAGUGUGACUCGUCACACUAUCAUUAACUGAAUCCAUAGGUUAAUGAGGCGAACCGGGGGAACUGAAACAUCUAAGUACCCCGAGGAAAAGAAAUCAACCGAGAUUCCCCCAGUAGCGGCGAGCGAACGGGGAGGAGCCCAGAGCCUGAAUCAGCAUGUGUGUUAGUGGAAGCGUCUGGAAAGGCGCGCGAUACAGGGUGACAGCCCCGUACACAAAAGCGCAUGUGCUGUGAGCUCGAUGAGUAGGGCGGGACACGUGGUAUCCUGUCUGAAUAUGGGGGGACCAUCCUCCAAGGCUAAAUACUCCUGACUGACCGAUAGUGAACCAGUACCGUGAGGGAAAGGCGAAAAGAACCCCGGCGAGGGGAGUGAAAAAGAACCUGAAACCGU